AUUGAACGCUGGCGGCAGGCCUAACACAUGCAAGUCGAGCGGAUGAAGGGAGCUUGCUCCUGGAUUCAGCGGCGGACGGGUGAGUAAUGCCUAGGAAUCUGCCUGGUAGUGGGGGAUAACGUCCGGAAACGGGCGCUAAUACCGCAUACGUCCUGAGGGAGAAAGUGGGGGAUCUUCGGACCUCACGCUAUCAUAUGAGCCUAGGUCGGAUUAGCUAGUUGGUGGGGUAAAGGCCUACCAAGGCGACGCUCCGUAACUGGUCUGAGAGGAUGAUCAGGCACACGGGAACUGAGACACGGCCCAGACUCCUACGGGAGGCAGCAGUGGGGAAUAUUGGACAAUGGGGGAAAGCCUGAUCCAGCCAUGCCGCGUGUGUGAAGAAGGUCUUCGGAUUGUAAAGCACUUUAAGUUGGGAGGAAGGGCAGUAAGUUAAUACCUUGCUGUUUUGACGGUACCAACAGAAUAAGCACCGGCUAACUUCGUG
rnacentral:rRNA from 1 species